AUGGAAGGGUCGUCGGUGGAGGUGCCGCCGUACUUCCUGUGCCCCAUCUCGCUGGAGAUCAUGCGGGACCCCGUCACGCUCGCCACCGGCAUCACCUACGACCGCUGCAGCAUCGAGCGCUGGCUCUCCGACGGCCACGCCACCUGCCCCGUCACGCAGCAAAAGCUCGCCGAGGCCGACCGGGAGGCCACGCCAAACCACACGCUCCGCCGCCUCACCCAGGCCUGGUGCGCCCUGCACGCCGUCGAGCGCUUCCCCACCCCGCGCCUGCCCCUUGACGCCGCCCGCGUCGCCCAGAUCGUCGAAGAGGGCCACGGUGCGGGCCGGCAGCAGGAGCUGGCCGCGCUCCGGGAGAUCAAGGCCAUCGUCGCUGAGAGCGACCGCAACAGGCGCUGCGUCGAGGCCACGCCCGGGGCCGUCGAGUUCCUCGUCUCCGUCGUCAGGAACCAUGCCACCGCGUCCAAGUCGGCAGAAGAUCUGUUAGAACUUUCGCUGGAUUCCCCCACGUCCACGAGCUCGCCGGAGGAGGACGCGCUCAGCGUCAUCUGCUCGCUCAAGCCGUCCAAGAAGAGCCUGGUCCGGAUCCUCGAGGAAAACGGAGACUUCCUGGACACCCUGGUGUACAUGCUGCGGCGACCCAGCUACCGGUCCCGCUGCUACGGCAUCCUCCUGCUGAAGGCGAUGGUGUCGGUCAUGGAGCCGGCGCGUCUCAUGGCCGUGAGAACCGAGGUGGUGCAGGAGCUGGUGCGCGUGGUGUCCGACAGGGUGUCCGCCAAGGCCGUGAAGGCCGCGCUGAACGUGCUGUGCCGGCUGUGCCCAUGGGGCCGGAACCGCGUCAAGGCCGUGGAGGCCGGCGCGAUGACUGUGCUGGUGGAGCUUCUCCUCGACGAGGGGGGCCGGCACCCCACCGAGCUGGCCGUGGUGGCCAUCGACCACCUCUGCGGUUGUGCGGAGGGGCGGUCGGACCUGGUGGCGCACCCGGCGGGGCUGGCAAUCGUGGCCAAGAAGGCCAUGCGGGUGUCGCUGACAACCACCGAGAGCGCGGUGCGCGCUGUGCACGCUGUGGCGAGGCACUCGCCGACGCCGGCCGUGCUGCAGGAGAUGCUGGCCGUCGGGGUGGUGGCGAAGCUGCUGCUAGUUCUACAGGUGGACGCUGGCGAGCGGGCCAGGGCCAAGGCCAAGGAGCUGCUCAAGAUGCACGCUAGGGUUUGGAAGGACUCCCCAUGCAUGCAAGCGCACCUCAAGGCGCGUUACCCUUGCUGA
rnacentral:rRNA from 1 species